UACCAGCACCCCGAGUGGUCGGGACGUUUAUUGGCCUAAAGCAUCCGUAGCCGGUUCUACAAGUCUUCCGUUAAAUCCAACUGCUUAACAGGUGGGCUGCGGAAGAUACUAUAGAGCUAGGAGGCGGGAGAGGCAAGCGGUACUCGAUGGGUAGGGGGUAAAAUCCGUUGAUCCAUUGAAGACCACCAGUGGCGAAGGCGGCUUGCCAGAACGCGCUCGACGGUGAGGGAUGAAAAGCUGGGGGGAGCAACCGGGAUU
rnacentral:rRNA from 1 species